UUAGUAACGCGUGGGAACGUACCCUUCACUACGGAAUAGUCCCGGGAAACUGGGUUUAAUACCGUAUACGCCCUUCGGGGGAAAGAAUUUCGGUGAGGGAUCGGCCCGCGUUAGAUUAGUUAGUUGGUGGGGUAAUGGCCUACCAAGACUACGAUCUAUAGCUGGUUUGAGAGGAUGAUCAGCAACACUGGGACUGAGACACGGCCCAGACUCCUACGGGAGGCAGCAGUGGGGAAUCUUAGACAAUGGGGGCAACCCUGAUCUAGCGAUGCCGCGUGAGUGAUGAAGGCCUUAGGGUCGUAAAGCUCUUUCGCCUGUGAUGAUAAUGACAGUAGCAGGUAAAGAAACCCCGGCUAACUCCGUGCCAGCAGCCGCGGUAAUACGGAGGGGGUUAGCGUUGUUCGGAAUUACUGGGCGUAAAGCGCACGUAGGCGGAUUAGUCAGUCAGAGGUGAAAUCCCAGGGCUCAACCCUGGAACUGCCUUUGAUACUGCUAGUCUUGAGUUCGAGAGAGGUAAGUGGAAUUCCGAGUGUAGAGGUGAAAUUCGUAGAUAUUCGGAGGAACACCAGU
rnacentral:rRNA from 1 species